rnacentral:ncRNA from 2 species
CUCUUAUCCAGAGCGACACAGGGAUCUGGCCCAGUGACCGUCGCAGCAACCGGCCCUCAUCACGGCACGGUGCUCUCCAGCCCGACCGCGCCAACGAUGGCCCAGCGGCGGGACCGAUAAGGG